CUCAGAACGAACGCUGGCGGCGUGCUUAAUACAUGCAAGUCGUGCGAGAAAGUACCCUUCGGGGUGCGAGUACAGCGGCAAACGGGUGAGUAACACGUAAGGAAUCUGCCUCCAAAUCCGGAAUAGCUCUGCCAACGCGGAAUUAAUGCCGGAUGUGGUUGCAUGGUCGCAUGGCUAUGCAACUAAAGGUGACCUCUUCGUUUGAAAGUUACCGUUUGGAGAUGACCUUGCGGCCCAUUAGCUUGUUGGCGGGGUAACGGCCCACCAAGGCUGCGAUGGGUAGCCGGCCUGAGAGGGUGAUCGGCCACAUUGGGACUGAGAUACGGCCCAGACUCCUACGGGAGGCAGCAGUAGGGAAUUUUGCGCAAUGGACGAAAGUCUGACGCAGCAACGCCGCGUGAGCGAUGAAGGUCUUCGGAUCGUAAAGCUCUGUUGAGUGGGAAGAAACGUCUCGGGGUUAAUAUCUCCGAGGCCUGACGGUACCACUCGAGGAAGCUCCGGCCAACUACGUGCCAGCAGCCGCGGUAAUACGUAGGGAGCGAGCGUUGUUCGGAAUCACUGGGCGUAAAGGGAGUGCAGGCGGAAAGGUAAGUCAGAAGUGUAAUCUACGGGCUUAACCCGUAUCUCGCUUUUGAUACUGCUUUUCUUGAGUAGUGGAGAGGGAAACGGAAUUCCAGGUGUAGCGGUGGAAUGCGUAGAUAUCUGGAAGAACACCAGUAGCGAAGGCGGUUUCCUGGCCACAUACUGACGCUGAGGCUCGAAAGCGUGGGGAGCAAACAGGAUUAGAUACCCUGGUAGUCCACGCCGUAAACGAUGGGCACUAGAUAUCGGGGAAUUCGAUUUCUUCGGUGUCGCAGUUAACGCGAUAAGUGCC
rnacentral:rRNA from 1 species